AUGACGUCCUCGAGGAGGUGCUGGUUUUGUCCGUGGGCGAGAUCGCGGAUCCAGGUGUCGUUGCUGAGUGCGUCGUGGACUGAUCUGUGCUUUCGUCGAGAGUGGAUGAAGAGCAUGGGGAAGCGUUGCGAGAGACUUCCAUGUCCGAGCCACAGGGAGCGCCAGAAGGAUGCCCUGAUGCAGAUUAACCAGCGGAAAAAGACAGGGGCAAUGGAAAAACAGCGGAAAAAAGACUUGUUCCAACUUGAGAACCAAAUUUCAGGAACAAAAUUGGAUGGUCUGAUUGCUUGUCAAACGCAAGCAUUUUUACUGAGUCUGUUUGAGUCUGAUGGUGUGUCCGUCGGAAAUGGAGGUUUUUGCCCAGUAGCAAGCACUAACUACGGAACCUUCCAUUUUCAUAUUUUCAGUAUACAGGCAGCAUAUACCAGCAUCACGCUUAAAUGUUACUCUUUCCGUCUGAAAAUACUUGUUAUUAAAAUGAAUAAAAGAGGAUGUAUCUAG
rnacentral:rRNA from 1 species